GACGAACGCUGGCGGCGUGCUUAACACAUGCAAGUCGAACGGAAAGGCCCUGCUUUUGUGGGGUGCUCGAGUGGCGAACGGGUGAGUAACACGUGAGUAACCUGCCCUUGACUUUGGGAUAACUUCAGGAAACUGGGGCUAAUACCGGAUAGGAGCUCCUGCUGCAUGGUGGGGGUUGGAAAGUUUCGGCGGUUGGGGAUGGACUCGCGGCUUAUCAGCUUGUUGGUGGGGUAGUGGCUUACCAAGGCUUUGACGGGUAGCCGGCCUGAGAGGGUGACCGGCCACAUUGGGACUGAGAUACGGCCCAGAUUCCUACGGGAGGCAGCAGUGGGGAAUAUUGCACAAUGGGCGGAAGCCUGAUGCAGCAACGCCGCGUGCGGAAUGACGGCCUUCGGGUUGUAAACCGCUUUCGCCUGUGACGAAGCGUGAGUGACGGUAAUGGGUAAAGAAGCACCGGCUAACUACGUG
rnacentral:rRNA from 1 species